GUGCUCAAUUUGGCAGUACAUAUUAUAAAAUUAAAGCAAUACAGAGAUCAGCAUGGCCCCUUCAUAGAGAUGACGGAUUUGUAAAGUGUUGCCCUUCAAC
rnacentral:snRNA from 1 species